CCGUGUCAUUGCCUCUUAUACAAAACAAACUCAACCCGUGGAUGGGAAAGACACGUGUUUAAAAAGUAUUAUUUGUUCUCACUCUCCCGCAUCCUGUCUUUCAGUAGGAGAAACGGCCGCGGAGUCUGUCACAAAUUGGCAGAACGUGGAGAGGAGGCGAGGGCCACUGCUAAAGCACAACAUUGCUUCACAGAAACCAGCGUCCUUGGACCUAUUAUACGGCGACGUCUGUCUAGUAGAAGAACUGUCCUUCACAAACCUAUACUCACCAGCAAAACAACCAUGCGCAAAUGAAGAGAUUAAUGACAGAUCUGAGGCGAUCCGUCUUUCUAUAGAAUCACAGUGUUAUCUCGCACGCAAACCCUGUCAAAAAGGGUGCCUUUGUCUGAGCAGGCAUAGACUACUAGAUCUGUCCGGUCCCGGUGCUUUGAGGAUUAAUUUUUUUUUUUUAAUCCUGUCAAGAUUCCCGGGGUAACUUGCCUGGCUGACACCAGCUCUCAAAGUUCUACUGUCGACGUGUCUGGUUGCGUCAGCCAAGCUAUGAGUCUAUUACAGGGGCAGAGGGAGUUGGUUCAGCUAAGAAAGGAGAGUGAAGAGACAGGUGGGACGGAGGUGAGGAAAAUUGAAAGGAAGACAGAUUGAGGGAAUCAAGAUGUUGUUUUGCCAGAAGAGCCCCUGGUCUGGGAAAUUGGAUUUCCUGUUCUACCCCCCUCCCCACAUACACACGCACGCACGCACACACACACACAUUGGGU
ensembl:lncRNA